AUUGAACGCUGGCGGCAGGCCUAACACAUGCAAGUCGAACGAGUGGCGGACGGGUGAGUAAUGUCUGGGAAACUGCCUGAUGGAGGGGGAUAACUACUGGAAACGGUAGCUAAUACCGCAUACCAUCAGAUGUGCCCAGAUGGGAUUAGCUAGUUGGUGGGGUAACGGCUCACCAAGGCGACGAUCCCUAGCUGGUCUGAGGGGAUGACCAGCCACACUGGAACUGAGACGGGGUCCGGAGUCCGACGGAAGGCAGCGGUGGGGAAUAUUACAAAAUGGGCAAAAGCCUGAUGCAGCCAUGCGGCGUGUAUGAAGCAGGCCUUCGGGUUGUAAAGUACUUUCAGCGGGGAGGCGUUACCCGCAGAAGAAGCACCGGCUAACUCCGUGCCAGCAGCCGCGGUAAUUC
rnacentral:rRNA from 1 species